rnacentral:misc_RNA from 1 species
GUGGGUAGUGCACUACCACGAUCGAGAUCGUCCGAGUGGUGUCUCAGGGCCCAAUAGUGUCUCUGGCAAUCAUUUGCUGUUGUACAAUUGGUUUUCGACCCAUACAUACGACAACCCCUCAGGGCUCGCACCCCACCAAUUGGGAUGCUUUUCGUGGUG